GAUGAACGCUGACAGAAUGCUUAACACAUGCAAGUCAACUUGAACUUCGGUUUGGGUGGCGGACGGGUGAGUAACGCGUAAAGAACUUGCCUCACAGCUAGGGACAACAUUUGGAAACGAAUGCUAAUACCUGAUAUUAUGAUUUUAGGGCAUCCUAGAAUUAUGAAAGCUAUAUGCGCUGUGAGAGAGCUUUGCGUCCCAUUAGCUAGUUGGAGAGGUAACGGCUCACCAAGGCGAUGAUGGGUAGCCGGCCUGAGAUGGUGAACGGCCACAAGGGGACUGAGACACGGCCCUUACUCCUACGGGAGGCAGCAGUGGGGAAUAUUGGACAAUGGACCAAGAGUCUGAUCCAGCAAUUCUGUGUGCACGAUGAAGUUUUUCGGAAUGUAAAGUGCUUUCAGUUGGGAAGAAAAAAAUGACGGUACCAACAGAAGAAGUGACGGCUAAAUACGUG
rnacentral:rRNA from 1 species